GACGAACGCUGGCGGCGUGCCUAACACAUGCAAGUCGAACGGGCUCCAUCUUGUGGCAACACUUGAGAAGAGCUAGUGGCGAACGGGUGAGUAACACGUGAAGAACCUGCCCCGAAGACCGGGAUAAGCCGAGGAAACUUGGUCUAAUACCGGAUACCCCCAUCUGAUCGCAUGUUCGGAUGAGGAAAUGGAUUCCGCUU
rnacentral:rRNA from 1 species